rnacentral:rRNA from 1 species
UUAGUUUUACCCUACUGGUCAGUUGAUGUUGCAACUGUAAUCGAAGUCAGUACGAGAGGAACACUUCGUUUGGGCACUUGGCAAAUGUGGUUAGUUGAGAGGCUAAUUCCCCCAAGCUAUUGUCUGCUGGAUCAUGACUGAACGCCUCUAAAAUCGAAUCCAUGCUGGUGUGCGAAUGUCUUUCAUCAAUUUUCAAGUGUA